rnacentral:lncRNA from 1 species
UAAAUAUAAUUUUUCAAACUUCUCUGAAAAAUUGUUGGUUUUUAGCAUUGAUUGGGGAUUUGAAAGCUAAAUAUUUUGCAAAGAAGAAUGUAACAACUGAAGAUAUUGCUAAUAGUUGUAUUCCUGUCUGUAUUGGUGUAAUUAAGAUAAAACCAGUGAAAAUCCGGAGAAGUCAGGAACUCCUUUCACAUUUAGUCCUGUUACCCGGAAAACAGAUCCCGGACUUUCUCCAGUUGGCCUAUCAGUAAAAUGGGCAGAAGUGACGUAUAGUUCAUCCAAAUUUAGUCCUCCAAAUGCUACAGAAGUUAUCUAUAAAUGAAUAUAAAAAAGAUUAAACUAUUACGAAACUAAAAAA